CGUGGAGCCUAGUUGGAUGCGCAUCCAUCGUAUAGUCGCUUACUUGCCGUCGUUACUGGUUAUGCCUAAAGAGAUGGGAGACCUCAAGGUGCCAAGCCUGCUAUGCUUGCUGCUGCUCAUGCCACUCCUCUUGGUUCCUGGCUCUGAAGCCGACACAUGCAGCAAGUUCAGCAAGACCUAUACCGGCAGGGCUUCCUUAUGCAAGUAUGCUCCAUGUGCCAAGGCCUGCCAGAAGGAGGGCUUUACCGAAGGGGUGUGUGCCGUGAUCCGCGCCAGACCCCUUUUUAUGCGUUGUCUCUGCAAGAAAAAGUGCUAAAUGAGAACAUGCUUGCAAGUGAUGCAGGAUGUAUGAUGUAACAGACAAUAAGUUAAUAACACUCUGUAGUAUGAAGAAAUGAUGAUGAGGAAUGAAAUACGUUGAGACUCUA